UUUAAUUGCCGUUGGAAAAAGCAUCACAUUCAUUGACCGCCUCUCGUCUCUUCUGAGUCGCCUCGAAUUCUCCGGCUGCGACGCCGCCGCCGAUGCCGGCUGCUCAUCGUGGCUUCAGGCGCCGCCGACGUGGAAGCAAUCUCCGUGUUUAUUUAAUCGAUGAGGCGGAAUUCACGUCACCAUCGACCUCCUCACGGACUCGCCGUCUGAUUUCGUUGACACCGAUUCUCGCCGAUCGGUGAGAGGUGCUCCAGGAUCCACUGGGCAGUCGCUGCCGUCGGAGUCUCACUUCGGUCGGUGUCAUACUCCAGCCAUCUCGGCUGCAUCGUCACUGUCAAUUUCGUCGGACUGCUGUGGACUUCGCGGCUUAGGAAAGUUUCCACUAAUUUUCCACUUUACAAAUUUUACCUUCCUGUUUGGCUAGAUAUGUUAGGGAUAUAGAUUUGGGUUCAUGAGAUUGGGUUCUCUUCUUGAGCAAGUGGUGGAUAUGACUUUGGAGUUUAUGGUGGAGCUAGGGCAAGUGGUGGAUAUGACUUUGGCCCUGGUGCUAGUUAUGGUGGAGCAGGAGGGGGAAUUAACGGAGGCAGAGCAGGUUAUAGUGGCAGUAGUCGAUACCAUCCUUAUUCAAGAUAGAUGUCUUUUAAGCAUCUUGAAGGAGUUCUCACAUUUCUCUUGGCUAUUGCUUCUCGCCACUCGGAGUUGACUAGAUUUUCAAUGUACUAGCAAGGAGAUGAUCUGUAGAAGACUGGAGAACCUUAGUAUUUUGUUGUUUCUUAUUCGCUGAAUUCUAAGUUUUAAGAAUCUCAUUGAGACACUGUUAAGCUUUCUAAUCUAGACAUCUUACCCUCUAUGAAAUGUAUUUUGUUCUAUUUUUAGUUAGAAUGGCCUUUUGCCUUUUUAGGUUCUACCUGCUAGAAGCUAAUGUUUAUCUAGAAUUGAGUAUACAUGCUCAAGUGAUCUGUGAGAUGAUGCCUCACCAGACAUAGCGCCUCUAGCUGUUUUUGAAUCUGUGAUUUGUGUCCAAGCUUUCUUGUGUGUUCUUUGGAAGUUCUGGCUGGAUGUAUUAAAGCCUCUAGUUCAGAGGGAAGCUUUAACAGCAAUCUUUCUACUCCCUCAUGGAGAGUUUGUAUCUGGCUGGUGCUCGUCAAACGUCCUACGAAGAGGAUGCACCAUUAGAAUGAGAAGGAUCUGUUUCUCAACAUGUUCAUUCGGUUCAUAGAGGACUAUUAGAAACUGUCAGAUGACAAAGUGUCCACAGUUAGCAAGAACUUAUGUUCACUGUUAAGUCAUGCAGAGUCUUUAGUUCCAGGAUUUUUGAAUGAAGAUGAUGUACAACUGCCUAGGUUAUUUGUAAGUCAGUUUGAGUGCCGAAUCGUUCGUGCUGCAUCGGAAAAUCAUUUAGUCCAUGAGCUUGGGAAGAGGUGGACUGCAGGAGCAACUAGCUUCCUAUAUUGGACUCCCGGCCCUGAUGAAAAAAAGAGGAAUAAGCUUCAUAAAAAGGAAUUUUAAUGCCAGAAAAGGAAGGUAGGAAGGUAAGACCGAUCUUGUAAAGAUGACAGCGAAGAUGGCAGUAUAUAUUUAAAGAAAACAAUUUAAUCGAUCAAUGAAAAUUGAAUGUUGGAAAGUUUCGAAGAUGAUCUAAAUUGACAGAGUAUUAUGUUUUUUAUUCUGAUAAUGAUACACUGGUAGAGGUUUGCUUUCUGCAUUUUGGUAUGUGAGAAGGUACCGGGUUUCCAGCAGGUAGGACAUCCGAGCUUUUAUUGUAGUCGUCAAAUCUUGGUCUUUGCGGAUUCUGGUAACACUUCUUCUCAUCUUUUUCGGGUGUCAUUCAAACCCGUAUAUACUCAACUUGUGAUGUUUCCUACUUAUACAUGGGUGCCUAACUGCUAUUUAUUCUCAUUCAUGCCUGAUAUGUUGAUUUUAUAGAUAAUUUAAAUGUUUUUUUUGUAAUUGACAUGUUAUGUGAUUAAGAGUAAAUUUCCGAGAGGUUGUCUGCCAUGGCUCUCUAAUAUGUGCAUCUCCCUAGUUUUUAAUGAUUUCAUACACAUCACCAAUUGAUAAACAACGAAUAUUAGCUUCAUAAAUAUCCAAAAAUUGCACUAGUACUAUGCUACUUGCUAUUUGUGUAUGCAUGCAAGAUCUUCUCUAUAUUGAUUGUCACUACUUUCACCACUUUUUUAUGGGUUAUUAGUGUAGGCUUCAUUUCUCUCAAGGGUUGGUUUGUAAACUUGUUGCUUACUAACUUCUGGAGAACUAGGUUUCCCGUGCUUCAGAUAAAGUGACAAGAGUGUUCUUUGGUGCCCGAUUUCUUGAGCUAAGGAGAGAGAACUAUUCCGGUUUUGAAAAAUUAAUUGAAAAAGCCAUAGGGCCGAUCGACUGAAUGAGAGCUUUAUGAGUUGCAAUCUUGUUGACAUUGGUGCAUAAAAAUGAUUUAGGCAAUAGGACAAAAAGCCUCAUAUCCAAAUUAUCACAUGCCUAACCCUAAAUAAACCCCUAGUGAGCCAGUUUGAGCCGCAAAAGCCUAAUUUCUUUGUUGAAAAUUUUGAAGUACUAUAUUAGCCUGCUUAUUAUAUCCAUUUUUUGGCCUAUAUUUUCUACCCUAGUCACUAAAAAUAAAAUGCUAGCACAUUCUCUGGAGGGUAUAUAUGGUGGCAAGAAAAAGAUGGAAAUCCUGGAAAAUUCUUGGGAGGGUAUUUAUGGUGGCAAGAAAAAGAUGGAAGUCCUGGAACAUUCAUCAGGUGGUAUUCAUUUAUACUGAGAUACAAAGUGAAAAGUUGUGUCUUCAAGCAAAAAUAAAAUAAAAAGGCAGCCUUUAAUGUGUAAAAAAAAUCCAAGGCUAGAAAAAAAAGGCAGCCUUUCAUGUGUAAAAAAAAGCCAAGGCUAGAAAAAUAAAAGGUAACCUUUCAUGUGUUAAAAAAAAGCCAAGGCUAGUAAAAAAAAUAAAAAUAAAAGGCAGCCUAUGAUGUGUAAAAAAGAGCCAAAGGCUAGAAAAAAAAGUGAAAAAUAGAAAUCUGCUCAAAAGAAUAAGAUGACUUUGUUUAGAUGGUAGAAAAAUUCAAGUUUGGGGUGUUGAGCUGUCAGAAUUUUGCACGCAUUGAGUGAGAUGUGAAGGAUGUUGUGAAGGAUGCUAUGAUGGAUGUGCUAGUAUUUUAAGAAUGUGAUAAGCUACUUAACCAAAUAUGAUCACACCUUUACCAAAAGCCCCAUUACAUCCAAAUGAAUAAGACCUUUUGAUUUAUGCAUCAUAUUGACUUGUGAGCGAUAAAUUUUGCUUGAGUUUGGGAGAAAGAUCUUACGUGCUUAAAAUAAAGAAUAGCCGGAAGAAACUCUCUUUAUGAAUUAGUGACGAUGGUUUGAGACUCCCAAUACAUAAAUCGAACUUACAUUGAAGCAUUGGGAUGCCUAACUCUUAGGGAAUUAGUUCGUGUACAAUUCUUGUUCUAAAGUCUUACCCGCGAGUGAAUUCGGGGUCAACCUAAUUUCUCUAAAUGAUUUGUGUGAUUUGAUGUGACUUGAAGUAGAGGAUUAUCUAAUGUCUUGUGAAUGUGCUUAUUUGUCUAACUUGACUUGAAGUAGAGCAAGACUUAUGUUUGGGGGUAUUUGAUGUGUGUGAGUAAUUGUUUAACUUGUUAUUAUACAAUGGAUGGAAUGGAGGGUAGCGCACUACUGCUCCAGUUCAGUUUUGACCAUCUCACUAUUUAUUCCAGUGAGUUAAAGGGUAUAAAGCUGCAACCAAUAUUUACUUCAAUAGUCAAUCAUUUAUUUUUAUAAACCUAACUUUAGUUCGAUAUUUAGUGUGUCAUUUCAUACUAAAGCCAUCAAUGAAGAACUAUUGCAAAAUCUUUCUGAUGCUCUAAACUUGUCGGUACCUGAUAAAAUUGGGGUUGUACUUGCGUUGUCUAAUUCUGAAUAACACGAUAUAUUCACUAUGCCUGGAUGUGUGGUUAGUUAUUUUCUUCUUUGUACAUACAUUUAGAUAUAAUUUUUUGUUUAGUUGUAGGAAGUGGAAUACAUACAACAGUUUAUAAUUUUUAUCUCUUUGGGAUUCUUCUACAUGCUGCACUAAACCUGUAACCCUUUUCUUGGUUGUAUGCAGGAAAGACUUUGUGUUUGAGUUUAGGGUUGUUUGAGUCAGAUCACAGAGCAAUCAUGCUGCAUUUGAGGCUACUGAGAUAAUUCAGCAUAUUCUAGUGUUACUCGUAGUCGAUUUGAAGGCCUCCCUAAGCAUUUAGAUUCAUUCUUGCAUAAAUAGACUAGAAAGUACUUAGUCGAUCUAAAGGUCGAGGGUGGUAGGGGGCGACUGAGUUCUUAACAUAAAAGAAACCAGUGGAAAGGAUGGAAAACUGAAGGCACAAGUCUAUUUAUUGAUUUUUGAGCUUGCUUUGCUUGAUCAUUUGCUUCUUGGUUGUUGCACCUAUAUUUUUCUGCUUAUUUAAUUCAUUCGUUGCUGCAUUUUGCAGAUUUAUAAUUAAUCUGUUAAAUAUAUUAUAUUUUUGUGAGUUAUACUGUGGCUGACGUUUUUAUUCUUUUUCUAAUCCACUGUUUGCUGUCUUGCUGCUCUAUAAAUAAUACAUACAUAGUAUCCUAUUUUUCUUUAUCUCAUAUGCCUGUACAAAUAUGUGCUAUAUUAGUGUUUCUUUGAUAUAUAAACCCCCACUGAUUGUCAAAUCUUGGCAUCUUAAUAUAUGCUUUUACAGGCUCUUUCCCAAGUACUUACUAGACACAUUUGCUUUUUACUUUCGCAUUAGGUUUGCUGAACUUGCAUCUAAAAAAGAAAUCAUGGGCCUUGGAAGCUGGUUGAGCACUCAAUUGAGUCUAUAACAAAUGUUCUUGCAUUGCUGAAAAAAUGUUUGGUAUAGAUUCAAGAGAGUUAAAUGCUCCCACCGAGGCAAGUUACCCGAAGGGACUGGAACGUAAUACAAAGCGCUUGGCAGAUGUCGUCUCAGAUGCUUCAAAUUUUCGGUCAUUCAUUAUGAUAAACUUUAGGGAAGCUUUAGCAGCAAUCUUUCUACUCCCUCAUGGAGAGUUUGUAUCUGGCUGGUGAUCGUCUAACGUUCUAGUUUGUGAAGAGGAUGCACCAUUAGAUGUACCUCGUUCAUCUUAUGCUCAUCAGAAAACGUCUUUGUUGAUUAAAGUGAUUGCAAACCUUCAUUGCUUUGUUCCUGAUGUAUACCAGGGUAAGAAAGAUCUGUUUCUCAACAUGUUCAUUCGGUUAAUAGAGAAGGACUAUCAGAAACUGUCAGCAUUUUGGUAUGCGAGAAGGUACUAGGUUUCCCAGCAGGAAAGACUUUGUGUUUGAGGCAGAUUACAGAGCAAUCAUACUGCGUUUGAGGCUACUGAGAUAAUUCAGCAUAUUCUAGUGUUACUCGUAGUUGAUUUGAAGGCCUCUCUAAGCAUUUAGAUUCAUUCUUGCAAAUGUUAUCUCUUGUGCUGCUAAGUUGUUUUCUGUGAUUGUUCCUAGUGCAUAAAUAGACUAGAUAGUACUUAGUCGAUCUGAAGGUCGAGGGUAGUAGGGGCCGACUGAGUUCUUAACUUAAAAGAAGCGGGGGGAAGGGUCGAAAAAUGAAGGCACAAGUCUAUUUAUUGAUUUUUGAGCUUGCUUUGCUUGA